UGCGGAAGGAUCAUUAUUGAAAUAAACUUGGUGUGGGUUGCAGCUGGCCUUUGGGCAUGUGCUCACCUUCAUCAUCUUUAUAUUUCCACCUGUGCACCUUUUGUAGACAGGAAAGACAAGGGAAUUUAUUGUGGUGCCAUUUUAGGCCCCCAUUUAUUUCUUGUGUAUUCCUUGUCUAUGUUUUUAUAUACCCCAAAAAUGUAACAGAAUGUUAAUCUAUGGGCCUUUGUGCUUAUAAACAAAAAUUAUACAACUUUCAGCAACGGAUCUCUUGGCUCUCGCAUCGAUGAAGAACGCAGCGAAAUGCGAUAAGUAAUGUGAAUUGCAGAAUUCAGUGAAUCAUCGAAUCUUUGAACGCACCUUGCGCUCCUUGGUAUUCCGAGGAGCAUGCCUGUUUGAGUGUCAUUAAAUUAUCAAAAAAAGAUCUUCAAUGCUCUUGUUUUGGAUGUGAGGGUUUUUGUUGGCGAAAGUCGACUCCCUUGAAAUGUAUUAGCUUGGUUGACUAGACUUUGUCUAUUGGUGUGAUAAUUAUCUACGCCAUUGGAUUGUCUGCUUGUCAAACUGCUUCUAAUUGUCCCUUUAGGGACUCUAUUAAAUGACCAUUUGACCUCAAAUCAGGUAGGACUACCCGCUGAACUUAAGCAUAUC
rnacentral:rRNA from 1 species